CUCCCCUCUCUGUCCCUCAUGCAAAUAACUGAAAGCUUUAUUGGCAUAAGAGGUCAGAGCAGUUUGCCAAAGGAUUAGCUAAUUAUUGUUCUUGGUCUGACCCGGGUUGUUUGUCCUUGCCAUUUCCCCGGUCCCUCCAUCCCUCAGUGUCCAUCUUAUUGUGUGACAUCGCUCCUCCUGACAACUUAAAGGGUUGUGGGCAAUGCGUCAGUGUAUUGGAAAGGUGCCGAGCAUACCGUUGAAAUAUUGAGAUGAAAUGUUGUGUACUGUACUUUAAGGGUACUGCGCUAUAUUGUAGUCUACGUUGUUGAAGGUAAACGCUUAGUGCCUGUAGAGGACAAUUCUUCCUGUGUGUUUAGUUCUCUGAAUCCUGUUCUUGACACAUCGUAGUUAUUACCUGGUCAUUGUUCAGGUACUGAUGUUCUGGUACCAAAACAUAGAUUGGAUCCUCUAGGUCAGGUUCCUGGAUAGAUACUAUGUCCAGGUUUAAUAUGGGUCAGGUUCCUGGAUAGAUACUAUGUCCAGGUUUAAUAUGGGUCAGGUUCCUGGAUAGAUACUAUGUCCAGGUUUAAUAUGGGUCAGGUUCCUGGAUAGAUACUAUGUCCAGGUUUAAUAUGGGUCAGGUUCCUGGUUAGAUACUAUGUCCAGGUUUAAUAUGGGUCAGGUUCCUGGAUAGAUACUAUGUCCAGGUUUAAUAUGGGUCAGGUUCCUGGAUAGAUACUAUGUCCAGGUUUAAUAUGGGUCAGGUUCCUGGAUAGAUACUAUGUCCAGGUUUAAUAUGGGUCAGGUUCCUGGAUAGAUCAUAUGUCUAGGUUUAAUAUGGGUCAGGUUCCUGGAUAGAUACUAUGUCCAGGUUUAAUAUGGGUCAGGUUCCUGGAUAGAUACUAUGUCCAGGUUUAAUAUGGGUCAGGUUCCUGGAUAGAUACUAUGUCCAGGUUUAAUAUGGGUCAGGUUCCUGGAUAGAUACUAUGUCUAGGUUUAAUAUGGGUCAGGUUCCUGGAUAGAUACUAUGUCCAGGUUUAAUAUGGGUCAGGUUCCUGGAUAGAUACUAUGUCUAGGUUUAAUAUGGGUCAGGUUCCUGGAUAGAUCAUAUGUCUAGGUUUAAUCUGGGUCAGAGGAACUGGCCCUCUGUGUCUUCCUGACUAGUCAGUAGAUGUUAAGCUGUGCUCAGCCAGACUUCCUCCCCUAAAGACCAUGCCUUCAGUAGGUGUAGUGUAGAGGUGUUAAGCUGUGCUCAGCCAGACUUCCUCCCCUAAAGACCAUGCCUUCAGUAGGUGUAGUGUAGAGGUGUUAAGCUGUGCUCAGCCAGACUUCCUCCCCUAAAGCUCACCCCUUCAAUUGUUUUUUUAAGCAUCUGGUGUAAAAGCCUUUGGUGUGACUACUCCCUAUCAGGUAUGCAGUAAAGCGUUAUUCUAAAUGCUAUCUAAGUGAAUAUGAAAAACAACAAUAACAAAGUAAUAAUAUUUAGGGUUUCCAUUUUGACGGUUUGGUCUGUGUUUGUGUACAGUACGUGUGUGCUUGGUGUUCCUGUGUUUAGGUUUUGUUUCUCUCUGUUUUGAAAAAAAAAAAGAGUUUUGUACAUAUUGUUGUUGAAAAAUGAUGAACUAUUUGUUUGUUGUACGCUGCAAUACGUUUUACCCUGUGAACAUGCGGUGGAAACGACGAUAAUAUUCCACAUGACGAUGACGCUGAUUAUAACUGCCCUUCUUGAACAAGGGCUCUUGAUGUCUGCUGUA